AGAGUUUGAUCAUGGCUCAGAAUCAACGCUGGCGGCGUGCCUAACACAUGCAAGUCGAACGAGAAAGUGGAGCAAUCCAUGAGUAAAGUGGCGACCGGGUGAGUAACACGUGACUAACCUACCUUCGAGUGGGGAAUAACCUCGGGAAACCGGGCGUAAUACCGCAUAAUGUCUUCGGACCAAAGGAGCAAUUCGCUUGA
rnacentral:rRNA from 1 species